GAUGCUAAUACCGGAUAACAACAGAUGAUGCCUAUCAACUGUUUAAAAGAUGGUUCUGCUAUCACUCUUGGAUGGACCUGCGGUGCAUUAGCUAGUUGGUAGGGUAACGGCCUACCAAGGCGAUGAUGCAUAGCCGAGUUGAGAGACUGAUCGGCCACAUUGGGACUGAGACACGGCCCAAACUCCUACGGGAGGCAGCAGGA
rnacentral:rRNA from 1 species